GUUCACCUUUACGACACUGGAGGGGGCAUUGAACACAUCAUUACAUCAGCAAUCUCUGAAAGUUACGGUGAACUUCGAUGUCAUUUGUUUGAUUGGCAGUGUGCAUCAAUACAAACCUUGGUUUCUUUGACAAUGACCAAAGUGAGCAUCAAAUAUUUAUUUCCAAAGUUUGGUGUGGAUCAAAUGGAGGUGAAGGGAAAUUCUGGAACAAUUAGUCAUGUCCUGAAGCUGUCCAAGGGGCAGCUGUGACUCUCUUGGCUCCUCCGUGGCUUCCCUCAGAGACACUGGCGGUCACCACACCCCUCCAACUUUCAGGAGAAAAAAGGCUGGAACUUUCCAAGAAGAAUGCUGGACUUCCAGGCGGACAGAUGGUGGAAUCUGCCCAACUUCCAGAGGAACUCUUUUAAGUAUUUUUACGAACCCUCUUUGAUCUAUUUUAUGGGGCUCUCUGUGAUCUAUUUUAUGGGACUUUCUUUGAUCCGUUCGGGAACCGAAGGCAAUGCUGGUCACGACCCACUUCCUUGAGGAAGCAGCUGUGGGAAGGAGGGGAAUGAAAAUCAAAGAACCAGGAGAACGAUCUUGGGGCAGAGCAUGGUGCAGAAAUGGUACAGACAGUACCGGGCCGUGUCUCUCCUCAAGAUUGAGUCCAAAUUUAACUCUGUCUCUGUUUGAUUCCUUGUCUUUGUCUUGUUUAAUAGAUGUCAUCAGUGUUUGAACCUGACACUACCCUUGAACAAAUAAUGAUAAUCCUCAUAGAAACACUGUUGUGUUGUGUUCAACAAUCUGUUAUAUUGUAUACUGAAAACAUUUCAACAAAAACGAGUACGAAAAUGAAAGUUAUACAGUUAGUUGGAUGAGCUGGCGUUUAUAUUACAACAAACUGUGCAUACCAGUGUUUCCUAUACAUGUUUGAUGCUACCUUUUCACCUUAGCUUGCAUCAUAAACACAUUAUAUUAGGACUGUCUGGAAUGUCGCUUGCUGUUACAACGGCGUACAGUAGAUAGCUGCCGUAAGCCCCUUUUCAUGUGUCAAGACUGGCGUUAACGUGGAAAUGUGCGCUGCCUCACGGAAACUCCGAGUAGCUGCUGUACACACAUUUCUACAGGCUGUGGUUACAUCAGCGCAGGGGUCGACAACCAAAAACGUUGAAAGAUCCAUAUUGGACAAAAAAAUAAAAAAUACAAAAAUCUGUCUGGAGCCGCAAAAAAUUAAAAGGGAUUUCAUCAUCAAUGGUCUGUAAUGUCAUCAAAAGGUUCAGAGAAUCUGAAGUAAUCACUGCACAGCACUGCCCGUGAACUUUGACCCCUCAGGCGGAAUUGCAUCAAAAACCAACAUCAGUGUGUAAAGGAUAUCAUUACAUGGGCUCAGGAAAGCUUCAGAAAACCACUGUCACUAAACACAGUUGGUUGCUACAUCUGUAAGUGCAAGUUAAACUCUACUACGCAAAGCGAAAGCCAUUUAUCAACAACACCCAAAAACGCUGCCGGUUUCAUCUAAGAUGGACUGAUACAAACUGGAAAAGUGUUCUGUGGUCUGACGAGUCCACAUUUCAAAUAGUUUUUGGAAACUAUAGACGUUGUGCCCUUCGGACCAAAGAGGAAAAGAACCAUCCAGACUGUUAUCGACGCAAAGUUCAAAAGCCAGCAUGUGUGAUGGUAUGGGGGUGCAUUAGUGCCCAAGGCAUGGGUAACUUACACAUCUGUGAAUGCACCAUUAAUGCUGAAAGGUACAUACAGGUUUUGGUGCAACAUAUGUUGUCAUCCAAGCGCCGUCUUUUUCAUGGACGCUCCUGCUUAUUUCAGCAAGACAAUGCCAAGCCACAUUCAGCACGUGUUACAGUACAACAGCAUGGCUUCGUAGUAAAAGAGUGCGGGUACUAGACUGGCCUGGCUGUCGUCCGGACCUGUCUCCCAUUGAAAAUGUGUGGCGAACUAUAAAGAGUAAAAUACGAUUUCAAAUUGUUUUUGGAAACUGUGGAUGUCGUGUCCUACGCCAACUUUUUUGCAAUGUGUUGCUGCCAUUAAAUUCUAAGUUAAUAAUUAUUUGCAAAAAAACAUUAGUUUCUGAGUUUCAACAUUAAAUACCGUAUUUCCUUGAGAUGCCGCAGGGCAUAAAGAAUGCGCCUGCCUUGAAUUACUGCCGGGUCAAACUCGCUUCCCAAAAUAAUUAGCGCAUGCUUAGUAUUACCACCUGGUCAAACUUGUAACGUCACGAGUGACACUUCCCCUGUCAUCAUUUUCAAAAUGGAGGAGGCUGAUUUCAAUACCGGUUAUUUUAAAUCGCAUAAAGGGAAGAAGAUUAAGGUCAAAGCUUACAAUACACUCAAAUUUUUACUGCACACCUUUGGUAAGUGCCGGAGUGAGAAGAGGUUUUAAAAUAAUUAGCGCAUGCUUACUUUUACCGCAUGCCUUUGGUAAGCGCAGGAGUGAGAAGAGGUUUUACAUUAAUUAGCGCCCCGGCGGCAAUUCAAGGAAAUACGGUAUCUUGUCUUUGCAGUCUCUUCAAUUGAAUAUACUCUAAGUUGGAAAGGAUUUGCAAAUUAUUUUAUUCUGUUUUUAUUUACAAUUUACACAAUGUGCCAACUUCACUGGUUUUGGGUUUUGUCCAUGCAGGGAAAUGGGCUCCAGUUCUGUAGACGACGUCACACCAAGAAGGGCGGCAUAUCGAGCUUGGCAAUGGAAAGGGGCGUUCCAAGAUCAAUUAGUUAUCUACUAAUAAAAACUAUUUGAAAUUAUGAAAAAUGACUGCCAGAAUAAUUUUCAGGAGAAAAACAUACAUAAAGAUAAAUUGUUCGUGAAAUGUCCGUCGCCUGGAAGCUAUAGAAAAACACGGUUCGCCAAGACUUGAUGAAUUGUCGGACAUAAGGGAGCUUUCACUGUACCGUGCUUGUGCUUACCUCGAUACAAAUGUGGUGCAUCCCACCCGCCUUGUUCUUCUGUAAAAAUCCAGCAAUGGGGCUCUUCUCCCCGAGAGGAUGGAGAAGCUCCAGCUUGGUGUUGCCGAGCUCCACAAACACGGUGGAGACACCAUGCUCGGGCAGAGCCACCCGUUCGCUUACUGUGGCCCCCAGGACAUCCCGAUACAAAGCAGUGGCCUUGUCCAUGUCUGGCACGGCAAUGGCGAUAUGGUUGAGCUUGCCCAGGUUCCACAGCGACCUUGGGGUGUUCUGAUGAAGGGAUGCUGUGGUCGAAUGUGCUCGCAGGAAAGUGAGUGCAGCACAUCUGGAUAAA